rfam:Felis catus isolate Cinnamon breed Abyssinian chromosome B2, whole genome shotgun sequence.
UCCUGGCUGGCUCAGUCAGUAGGGCAUGGGGCUCUUGACCUCAAGGUUGUGAGUUCAAGCCCCACAUUGGGUA